GACGAACGCUGGCGGCGUGCCUAAUACAUGCAAGUCGACCUUAGUGGCGAACGGGUGAGUAACCCGUGGGUAACCUGCCCAUCAGAAGGGGGUAACACUUGGAAACAGGUGCUAAGACGGUAUACAGAUGGUGGGACCCGCGGGGCAUUAGCUAGGUGGUGAGGUAAAGGCUCACAAAGGACACGAUGCAUACCGGACCUGAGAGGGUGAUCGGCCACAGUGGGACUGAGACACGGUCCAAACGCCUACGGGAGGCAGCAGUAGGGAAUCUUCGGCAAUGGACGAAAGUCUGACCGAGCAACGCCGCGUGAGUGAAGAAGGUUUUCGGAUCGUAAAACUCUGUUGUUAGAGAAGCGGUAUCUAACCAGAAAGCCACGGCUAACUACGUGCCAGCAGCCGCGGUAAUUC
rnacentral:rRNA from 1 species